rnacentral:lncRNA from 1 species
CAGGUUUUUUUUUUCUGUCAUCUGUUGUAACUAAAAAUAAUCUUAAUGACCAACUAGUUCUCCCAAGAAACAGUCCUGCCCCACCCCACCCAGGUGGAGACCAGAAAUACCUGAGAAGGGGGCGGAGUGGGAAGCCGGAGCGGGAAUCCGGACAGCUGACCUGCUGCGAGUCAUCAGUCUGCAGAACUUUACAGUUCAAGUCACACCCACACUUUGUAAUUCAAACAGGUAUCCUCAAAGGACUUUUUCUAUGAAGUAAGCACUUCCUCUUUAAAUGUCCUAUGCUUUUUUUCCCCCGUCUACUUAAUAUGUUCCACAGUGGACUGUGUUUUCAGGAUGGUCUUGCGAGCAAAGCGAACUACAAACGUUGCUAUUAUUUCGUUUUGAAAAUGAUAUUUUUGGUGGCAAACGUGAUAGGAGAGGUCAUCUCCUAAAAAGUUCUAACUCAAAAGUGUGCAAACUGGAUAAAAUUCACCAACCAAUAGAAGAGUGGCCUUGCCUUUCCUGAGGAGAGUCAUCCAGUCUCACACUCGGGCAGUGGG